rnacentral:rRNA from 1 species
UGGUAAUACCGGAUGCUCCGCUCCAUCGCAUGGUGGGGUGGGAAAUGCUUUUGCGGCAUGGGAUGGGGUCGCGUCCUAUCAGCUUGUUGGCGGGGUGAUGGCCCACCAAGGCGUUGACGGGUAGCCGGCCUGAGAGGGUGACCGGCCACAUUGGGACUGAGAUACGGCCCAGACUCCUACGGGAGGCAGCAGUGGGGAAUAUUGCACAAUGGGCGCAAGCCUGAUGCAGCGACGCCGCGUGCGGGAUGGAGGCCUUCGGGUUGUAAACCGCUUUUGUUCAAGGGCAAGGCACGGUUUCGGCCGUGUUGAGUGGAUUGUUCGAAUAAGCACCGGCUAACUACGUGCCAGCAGCCGCGGUAAUACGUAGGGUGCGAGCGUUAUCCGGAUUUAUUGGGCGUAAAGGGCUCGUAGGCGGUUCGUCGCGUCCGGUGUGAAAGUCCAUCGCCUAACGGUGGAUCUGCGCCGGGUACGGGCGGGCUGGAGUGCGGUAGGGGAGACUGGAAUUCCCGGUGUAACGGUGGAAUGUGUAGAUAUCGGGAAGAACACCA